rnacentral:rRNA from 1 species
UUCGCCUACGGGGCGCAGCAGUAGGGAAUCUUCCACAAUGGGCGAAAGCCUGAUGCAGCAACGCCGCGUGAGUGAAGAAGUAUUUCGGUAUGUAAAGCUCUAUCAGCAGGGAAGAAGAAAGACGGUACCUGACUAAGAAGCCCCGGCUAACUACGUGCCAGCAGCCGCGGUAAUACGUAGGGGGCAAGCGUUAUCCGGAUUUACUGGGUGUAAAGGGAGCGUAGACGGCUGUGCAAGUCUGAAGUGAAAGCCCGUGGCUCAACCGCGGAACUGCUUUGGAAACUGUAUAGCUUGAGUACUGGAGG